rnacentral:tRNA from 1 species
GGCAGUGUCUCAGUGGUGGAGCAUCUGCUUGGCAUGCAAAUGGCCCCAAGUUCAAUCCCUGACAUCGCUA